rnacentral:sRNA from 1 species
GGCGGAAUUGAGAGCGUUCUUCGACGUCCAUGAUCAAGAAGGGAGUUUCCCUGGCGGGGUUCAUUUAGAAAUGACUGGUCAAAACGUGACAGAAUGUGUCGGAGGGUCACGCACCAUCACUUACAACGAUCUAAGCUCACGCU